CCUCACAUUCGUGCGUCCAUGUCACAUUUCCGAAAGAAUUCAACGAACUUAAGAGGAACCGGGCAUGAAGAAUGUAAACAACCCGCAGUGGGCCCAGAGUUCCCUUCUUGGUGCAUACAAUAUGGGAUGUACUAUUCGCCAAAUAUCAUCGGUGCCAUCAAAUUGAAAAAGCUGAGAUGGGUGGAAAAUGUAGCACGCAAGGGGAAGUGACAAUCAUUCCAAAUUUCUGUCAGAACACAUUGUGAGAAAAAAACCAAUUGUGAGACGUUACCUUAGAUAGGAGAAUAGUAGAAAGUGUAUCACAAAGUCAGAUGAGGAUUGGAAUGAACUGCCUUAGGAUCGCUCCAUUGGCGAAGUGCUGUGAACUGGAAUAGUGAAUCUGGAGUGGAACGUGUGUCUACAGCCAAGUAAACACCAGUCCUUACGUGACAAUGAACUCAUCCGCGCAGCACAGCACGCCUGCUCAGUCCAGCCAGAGCCUGAUUCAGACUUCACCACACCCGAAG